rnacentral:rRNA from 1 species
AAUCAACGCUGGCGGCGUGCCUCAGACAUGCAAGUCGAACGCGAAAGGCCCCUUCGGGGGCCGAGUAGAGUGGCGCUCGGGUGAGUAACACGUGGGUAAUUUGCCUUUGGGUGGGGAAUAACAACCGGAAACGGUUGCUAAUACCGCAUAAUGCAGCGGCUCGACAUCGAGACAGUUGUUAAAGCGGGGGAUCUUUCGAGACCUCGCGCCUAAAGAGAAGCCUGCGGCGGAUUAGCUAGUGGUGAGGUAAUGGCUCACCAAGGCUACGAUCCGUAACCGGCCUGAGAGGGCGGACGGUCACACUGACACUUAAAUACGGGUCAGACUCCUACGGGAGGCAGCAGUCGGGAAUUUUGGGCAAUGGGCGAAAGCCUGACCCAGCAACGCCGCGUGAAGGAUGAAAUCCCUCGGGAUGUAAACUUCGCAAGAACGGGAAGAAUAAGCGAGAGUAAAUACCUCUCGUGAUGACGGUACCGUUUGUAAGCUCCGGCUAACUCCGUGCCAGCCGCCGC